rnacentral:rRNA from 1 species
UGUGCCUACGGGAGGCAGCAGUGGGGAAUAUUGCACAAUGGGGGAAACCCUGAUGCAGCGACGCCGCGUGAAGGAAGAAGUAUUUCGGUAUGUAAACUUCUAUCAGCAGGGAAGAAAAUGACGGUACCUGACUAAGAAGCCCCGGCUAACUACGUGCCAGCAGCCGCGGUAAUACGUAGGGGGCAAGCGUUAUCCGGAUUUACUGGGUGUAAAGGGAGCGUAGGUGGCAAGGCAAGUCAGAUGUGAAAACCCGGGGCCCAACCCCGGGAGUGCAUUUGAAACUGUCUGGCUAGAGUGCAGGAGAG